UACGUAGGGGGCAAGCGUUAUCCGGAUUUACUGGGUGUAAAGGGAGCGUAGGUGGUGCGGUAAGUCAGAUGUGAAAACCCGGGGCUCAACUCCGGGACUGCAUUUGAAACUAUCGAACUAGAGUGCAGGAGAGGUAAGUGGAAUUCCUAGUGUAGCGGUGAAAUGCGUAGAUAUUAGGAGGAACACCAGUGGCGAAGGCGGCUUACUGGACUGUAACUGACGCUGAGGCACGAAAGCGUGGGUAGCGAACAGG
rnacentral:rRNA from 1 species